AACGAACGCUGGCGGCAGGCUUAACACAUGCAAGUCGAACGCAUCCUUCGGGGUGAGUGGCAGACGGGUGAGUAACGCGUGGGAACGUGCCCUUCAGUUCGGGAUAACCCAGGGAAACUUGGGCUAAUACCGGAUACGUGCGAGAGCAGAAAGAUUUAUCGCUGAAGGAUCGGCCCGCGUCUGAUUAGCUAGUUGGUGGGGUAAUGGCCCACCAAGGCGACGAUCAGUAGCUGGUCUGAGAGGAUGAUCAGCCACAUUGGGACUGAGACACGGCCCAAACUCCUACGGGAGGCAGCAGUGGGGAAUAUUGGACAAUGGGCGCAAGCCUGAUCCAGCCAUGCCGCGUGAGUGAUGAAGGCCUUAGGGUUGUAAAGCUCUUUUAUCCGGGACGAUAAUGACGGUACCGGAGGAAUAAGCCCCGGCUAACUUCGUGCCAGCCGCCGCCGUAA
rnacentral:rRNA from 1 species